GAUGAACGCUAGCGGGAGGCCUAAUACAUGCAAGUCGAACGGUAAGGUCCCUUCGGGGAUACACGAGUGGCGGACGGGUGCGUAACGCGUACGAAACAUACCUUCAACAGGGAGAUACCUCCGGGAAACUGGAAAUAAUACCCCAUAGUAUUGAGAUAUCGCAUGAUAUUUCAAUUAAAGCUUUGGCGGUUGAAGAUUGUCGUGCGUCUGAUUAGCUAGUUGGUGAGGUAACGGCUCACCAAGGCGACGAUCAGUAGCUGGUCUGAGAGGAUGAUCAGCCACACUGGAACUGAGACACGGUCCAGACUCCUACGGGAGGCAGCAGUAGGGAAUAUUGGACAAUGGGCGGAAGCCUGAUCCAGCCAUCCCGCGUGUAGGAAUAAGGCCCUAUGGGUUGUAAACUA
rnacentral:rRNA from 1 species